GGCUGGUCCGAGUGCAGUGGUGUUUACAACUAAUUGAUCACAACCAGUUACAGAUUUCUUUGUUCCUUCUCCACUCCUACUGCUUCACUUGACUAGCCUAAA
rnacentral:Y_RNA from 13 species